UACGGGGGGAGCAAGCGUUGUUCGGAUUUACUGGGCGUAAAGGGCGCGUAGGCGGUCAGCACAAGUCAGUUGUGAAAUCUCCGGGCUUAACUCGGAAAGGUCAACUGAUACUGUGCGACUAGAGUGCGGAAGGGGCAACUGGAAUUCUCGGUGUAGCGGUGAAAUGCGUAGAUAUCGAGAGGAACACCUGCGGCGAAGGCGGGUUGCUGGGCCGACACUGACGCUGAGACGCGAAAGCGUGGGGAGCGAACAGG
rnacentral:rRNA from 1 species